rnacentral:rRNA from 1 species
UACGAAUCGUCCAAACGUUGUUCGGAUUCACUGGGUUUAAAGGGCGCGUAGGCGGUGCGUUAAGUCGGCGGUGAAAUCCUUCGGCUCAACCGGAGAAUUGCCGCUGAAACUGGCGUGCUCGAGGAAGGUAGAGGUGCGUGGAACUUCCGGUGGAGCGGUGAAAUGCGUUGAUAUCGGAAGGAACACCUGUGGCGAAAGCGAUGCACUGGACCUUUUCUGACGCUGAGGCGCGAAAGCCAGGGGAGCGAACGGG